ACCCUUUGGGACAUCUUUUGGGAUUGAGUUUUCUUCAUGCAUGGAAGACCACAAAGCCCAUUGACAGCAAUUCUCACAGCAUGUAGAAGAAGGUGAAAGGCAUAUAUAGGUGUGGAAGAGGAGGCACUAUUUUGGAGCAUUAAAUGGUUGACAUGAUAGGCUGGGAAGCUGAGAGAGUCUGACUUUCUGAGCAGGAGAUGGGCUAUGCGUAGCAGAAGGGAUGGAUGGAUGUAUCCUGGGUUGCAGAGCAUAAAAUGGGACUCACAUUAUAUAAUCUUAUAGAAAGAAAAUUCAAUUCUCGAUUGUUGUAACAUUCUCCAUUUCCUCGUCAACCAAAAUGCGAUCCGUUUUAAGGUUUCUCUAAGAAAUAAGCGCAUAGAUGAU